UUCAUGCUAUUUCUGGACUAAAUGAUAUCCUUACUUUACAAAGUUCUAUUUCCAACAUUUAACAUGUAAUUUGUAUUUAUUCAAGAUCAUGUCCUAAUUAGAAAUGUAAACCUAUGUUCCCAGAAAAAUUAACAUUCAUCAACUAUACUCUUUUGACACUUCCUCAAAGAUUAGUGCAAGAUUACAAAUCUUGCUGUUAUUAAAUUUGACAAAUAUCAGGUCCAAAAAUACUUGCUAUUUACUAAUAGACAGUGAUAACUGAAAUCAACAAAAUCUCAUGAAAAUUAAUUUUGAUAUUCUAAUUGUUCUGACUUCACUUUUUAAGACAAUUAGCACUGAGAUUGUCAUUUCUGACCAUUUAGAAUAAAUUUUCUUUAAGUAGACUGCAUUUACUUAAUAGACGUCUUAAUUUUCUUGAUUUAAAAACAUGCAAACUUGAACAAAUAUAAAAUAUUAAGGAUAUACUCAUCAACAUCAAUCUACUAUGUAUCUAUAAUGACAGGAAGUGGUUAUCUAAAAAUAAUACACUGUUGAGUGAAAAAAGAACAGUGUAGAAAAAAACAAGUAAUAUUCAAUUUAUGG
rnacentral:lncRNA from 1 species